rnacentral:rRNA from 1 species
GCUCAGAUUGAACGCUGGCGGCAGGCCUAACACAUGCAAGUCGAACGGUAACAGGAAACAGCUUGCUGUUUCGCUGACGAGUGGCGGACGGGUGAGUAAUGUCUGGGAAACUGCCUGAUGGAGGGGGAUAACUACUGGAAACGGUAGCUAAUACCGCAUAACGUCGCAAGACCAAAGAGGGGGACCUUCGGGCCUCUUGCCAUCGGAUGUGCCCAGAUGGGAUUAGCUAGUAGGUGGGGUAACGGCUCACCUAGGCGACGAUCCCUAGCUGGUCUGAGAGGAUGACCAGCCACACUGGAACUGAGACACGGUCCAGACUCCUACGGGAGGCAGCAGUGGGGAAUAUUGCACAAUGGGCGCAAGCCUGAUGCAGCCAUGCCGCGUGUAUGAAGAAGGCCUUCGGGUUGUAAAGUACUUUCAGCGGGGAGGAAGGGAGUAAAGUUAAUACCUUUGCUCAUUGACGUUACCCGCAGAAGAAGCACCGGCUAACUCCGUGCCAGCAGCCGCGGUAAUACGGAGGGUGCAAGCGUUAAUCGGAAUUACUGGGCGUAAAGCGCACGCAGGCGGUUUGUUAAGUCAGAUGUGAAAUCCCCGGGCUCAACCUGGGAACUGCAUCUGAUACUGGCAAGCUUGAGUCUCGUAGAGGGGGGUAGAAUUCCAGGUGUAGCGGUGAAAUGCGUAGAGAUCUGGAGGAAUACCGGUGGCGAAGGCGGCCCCCUGGACGAAGACUGACGCUCAGGUGCGAAAGCGUGGGGAGCAAACAGGAUU